rnacentral:rRNA from 1 species
AUUGAACGCUGGCGGCGUGCUUAACACAUGCAGGUCGAGCAGUAACAGGUGUAGCAAUACAUGCUGACGAGCGGCGAACGGGUGAGUAAUGCUUCGGAAUCUUCCUCGUAGUGGGGAAUAACCUGGGGAAACUCAGGCUAAUACCGCAUACGAACUACGGUUGAAAGCAGGGGAUCGCAAGACCUUGCGCUAUGAGAUGAGCCGAAGUCGGAUUAGCUAGUUGGUAGGGUAACGGCCUACCAAGGCGACGAUCCGUAGCUGGUCUGAGGGGACGACCAGCCACACUGGGACUGAGACACGGCCCAGACUCCUACGGGAGGCAGCAGUGGGGAAUAUUGGACAAUGGGGGCAACCCUGAUCCAGCGACGCCGCGUGUGUGAAGAAGGCCUGCGGGUUGUAAAGCACUUUUAGUGGGGAUGAAAAGCCAAGGGUUAAUACCCUUUGGUCUUGACCUAACCCAAAGAAAAAGCACCGGCUAACUCUGUGCCAGCAGCCGCCGUAAAAC